GAAUUAUGGUUCAUGUAGAGUCAAACGGACCAUAAAGCAGGGGAUGCUUUAGGGCGGGGCUAUAUGCUGAUUGACAGGUGUCUGCUAGCCUCAUACGGCGUCUGGAGUCCAAACUUGAGGCUUGAGAACAUUGUUUUUGUUGUUGUUUGGGUCCCUGUGAGGUGUUUAUGUUUCCAUUUUCAGUCAAAAGUCACCGGAACGUGUGGACCUCAAAGGCGAUGAAGUCCAAGCACUGAGGACGGGUCUCUAUGUCCUCGUGUCCCCGCAGACGAGCCAUCGAAGACGCAAAGCACACAAGUAGUCAGCUGACGAGAGGAUUACCGGGAAAAUCCUCUUAUGGAGCCAACCCGAACGGCAUAACCGAACCGGAGGAGAAAAAAACCAUCACACGUGUGAUUAUUCACAUGUGUGUGUGCGGGGGGGGCUGGAGCAUGUCCUUGCCCUUUUCCUUCACAUUCAGGCCCAAAUCUCCUCCUCUGCUAUAUAAAGGGUUGGUCCUCGUUACCCACAUGUCAGAAUCAGUCAGUAUUUGAAUAAAAGAAGACCAGGAGCGAUGUGAGCGCUGAGGAAGAAGCGUUUUCUUUCUGUUCCUAGGCAACGUGGUCUCGCAGCGUCCGGGAGGCUCAGGGGACAGUUCGCUCUGGCGUACGACCCCGUUUCCUUCGCCUCUGAGCCAAUCGCCUGCUAAUCAGACGCUGGCUCGCUGCCGCGCUUUCUCCUCCGCUUCGCAAGCGACAGGAGAGGGGGAGAAGUGAAGCCCCCCCCCCCCGUGCCCGGGUCCACCUCCGCCUACACUGAUGCUUCUAUUUGUGUCGUCCUGUCGGACCGGCGCUGUGUGGGCCGACGCUCCUCUGCCGGAGGAGCAUCGGCCUGAGGAAGGAAACACCGGCGCGCCACCAGCUGUUCCCUCUCACACCAAACAUUCAGGGGAGUCUUGCUGGCGCCGCGGCGGCUCGUGUCAUCGCACAACGGUUUUCACACCCCGGGAGGCGCCGACAAACGAGGCGAGAGAGGAGAAGUCGCUCGUUGGUGAACAGCGCCGUGGCGGUUAGCGAGAGCCGCGCGUGUCGGCUGAGGGGAAGAAAGAACGCGCGGGAACACGUCGGGUAGACGAUCAGGGAACAGCAUGUUCCCCCCGAGUUACCGUCCUCGCUGCUGCGUUCCUCCACCGGAGACCGAUCCAGCUUCCAUAAAAACGACCUCUCAUCUCCGUCACAAACGCUCCCUCGCUCUCAGAAAAAACGCUCCUUCUGGUUUUGUCCUUCAGUAGAAGCUCAAACCGGCUCGAGGUCAUUUGCAUUUGACAAAAAGCAGAGACGGCAUCGGGGACACGUGAUGACGGACGCCGAGUCUGAUGUUAUCGGAACUCGUGUUCGGAGGCCGGGCGCGGUGGGCACGCCGGUCUCUUCUAGUUGACCCUGAUGCAUGCUGGUCUUUGUAGGUAAUCCUGAAUGAGGAAGUCUGAAGGCCAGCAGAGCCCCCGCAGAAACAUGGGGGGGGGCAUUUCACCCCAGACAACCACCGCUUCCUAAAGCGGAAACACAGGAUGUCAAACGUCCCGUGACGCCAAAAAGCCACAAACACGACGGUUAGAGAUAAAAAGGGAAGCGUUACUUUGUUGGGAGCAGAACAUUUGGAUCCUUUUAUUACUUUUUAAACCUUCGUUUGAAGCUCGUUUGAAACAAACCGCCUCCUCCUAUUUUUCCUCAGUUCGAUGUUCGGUGUUGGGAGGUUUUUUUUUUUCCUGCAAGGAGCGUUGGAACCAAAAUUCUUCCUUUACAUGAAUCGAAUGAACCUUCGUUCAGUUGAACUCAUCCAGCCGUGUUUGCAGAAUGAACGUUUUGGUUCAAACAUUAGCGCUUCCUGGCUAAUGCUAACAAAGCUUAAGCUGGGUUUUUCUGCUACGGUUACAGUAGCUUUCCACAUUGGCUCGUAGCCACGCUGUAAAGAUUCCUCACCUGUUGUGCAGGUUCGGCACGUUCACACAUUUUCCUUCUCAGCUUCCCGUAAGAGACUCGUGCGACUCCUCACAUCUCUCGUGUUUUUUUUUUUAAAGCACCUUGUCUGGAAACAAAAGGGCUGACAGCGGCGACAGGUUUUAUUGACACGCACGUUCUCAUCCCCACCUGCAUACCGGUCGGGUGAGGCGGUUGUUUCUCACGGAGAAAAACACCGUGCCGAAACUGUGAGAGGCGGCAGGAGAAGAACACGAGCUUCUACCUUCGUUUAACACUAAAAGAUGAGAAGACGAACAACCAGACGUCUGUAAUCUUCUUGUGUUAACGAGACAGGAAAAGCUUUUCAGAACCGCAGCGGGAGACCCAGAUGUGCCACGGUCUCCCUACUGGACCCCCCCCCCCCCACCCACCACCUCCCGUCUGUGACUGACGCUUCCUCACGUUGGUCCAUUUAGUUACUGUCUCAUCAUCGACCCUCCAUUGGCAUCAACUCCCUCCGGAGUGAGACUGCGUGCAGACAAGCGACAGGAUGCGUCACACGGCCGUUUGACGGCUGUUCUGCCACCGCGUGUCGUACCGAAAGAUCUUACAUGAACACGCGACUCUUAUUUCAACAGGUGGUUCUCCACAACCAUUCUGUAGCGUGCGCCAGUUGAUUCCCGCUGUACUUUCAGAAACUCCAAUAGAAUAAAAAAAAAAAAAUGUCACAAAGUGCAUCGAUCAGAGAUCACGCAGCUCUGCACUCACAGUGCUGGGAAGGGCCAGAGGAGGGAAGGCGUUCACUGCGAUUGCUCACACACACAAAGUGGGCACGUACGCACGCGGACCGACUGCCGCCAGAUAUGAUCAGAGAGCUGCAGGCUUUGGCGAGACUCGCUGCACCCUCGUGUGUCCGGGUCAUCGGGUCCACAUGCAAUUAAUGCUCUUACGCGUCGCUUCGUGCCGCUGUGACCUCCCGCCGCUUCCGUUCGUCCCCCCCCCCACCUGCUCACCGAGGGCCCCCAACAUUUCACAGGCCGCUGUGGGGGGCGAACGGGUCGCUCUCUGAGGUCACGUUAAAGCGUUGGGAAGGAAAAGAGCUAAAGGAUGUUUCAUUUAGCUUCGACAUUAUCUUAAUGGAACAGUGCGUUGUUGUUGCCGGGUGGAUUUUCUCCCUCUCUCUCCCUCUCUCCCUCUCUCUCCCCUCUCUCUCUCUCUCUCUCCUGCACACCACCGACUGGCUGCAUGUCACCCAGAUCACAGUCAAGAACCCUCCCUCACAAUCAUUCCAGUUGCUGAAUAAUACAAAGCAAACAGUGACCUACUUUCGGGAGCAGGGAACAAGCGAGAGGGAAGAGCCGGAGUGGAGUCCGGCGGGAGGCGGACCGGGCGGAGGAGCCGAGGCGGAGCAGGAGGCGGAGCAGCAGGAGGCGGGGGGGCGGCCUUCGUUUGAAAGCCUCCUUUCUGCACACUUUGUGAGCCUCCUGCAUUCCUGCAUUCUGCCCUUUGCUCCCUCUGCAGCUGCAGAGCGACGUGGAGCCGCGGCACAAAUGUGACAGACAGAAAAACAAAACAUGAACCAGAGAGUCGGUUGUCCUGGAGACAUGAUGCACCUACUUCACUGGAGGCCUUACAUCAUUGUUGUGCUGCAAAUGUUACAAAACGGAAAAAGGUGGAUGGGUGUCGCAUCCCGGAGUCCUCAGCAUCCUGGAGUCCUGCAGCAUCCUGUAGUACUCAGCAUCCUGUAGUCCUGCAGCAUCCUGUAGUACUCAGCAUCCUGUAGUCCUGCAGCAUCCUGUAGUACUCAGCAUCCUGUAGUCCUCAGCAUCCUGGAGUUCUGUAGCAUCCUUUAGUCCUCAGCAUCCUACAGUCUUCAGCAUCAUGGAGUCCUCAGCAUCAUGGAGUCCUCAGCAUCCUGGAGUCCUGCAGCAUCCUGUAGUCCUGCAGCAUCCUGUAGUCCUGCAGCAUCCUGGAGUUCUGUAGCAUCCUGUAGUCCUCAGCAUCCUGUAGUUCUGUAGCAUCCUGGAGUUCUGCAGCAUCCUGGAGUCCUCAGCAUCCUGGAGUCCUCAGCAUCCUGGAGUCCUCAGCAUCCUGGAGUCCUCAGCAUCCUGGAGUCCUCAGCAUCCUGUAAUUCUGCAGCAUCCUGGAGUUCUGUAGCAUCCUGUAGUCCUCAGCAUCCUUUAGUCCUCAGCAUCAUGGAGUCCUCAGCAUCCUGGAGUUCUGUAGCAUCCUUUAGUCCUCAGCAUCCUGGAGUCCUCAGCAUCCUGGAGUCCUCAGCAUCCUGGAGUUCUGCAGCAUCCUGUAUUCCUCAGCAUCCUUUAGUCCUCAGCAUCCUGUAUUCCUCAGCAUCCUUUAGUCCUCAGCAUCCUGGAGUUCUGUAGCAUCCUGUAGUCCUCAGCAUCCUGGAGUCCUCAGCAUCCUGUAGUUCUGCAGCAUCCUGGAGUUAGGGGGUCCUGCAUGUCGGACUUCUCGUGAAGCAUUCCGCUCUGUGAAAGAAGAAGCAUUCUGUACUUGACACAGGAUAGAAAACAAUUAAUUAAAAAACAUGAAGAUCCAUCAUCUGAGGACCAUGAAUAUGAAGAUUACUUAUUGUGAUAUUUACAGUACCAGCAAAGAUUUUGACACAUUUUCUCAUUCAAUUCCAUCAGAAUGUGUAUCCAACCCUUUGACUGGUUCUGUGUGUAAGUGUAGGUAAAAGGAAAAGUUUGGAUUAGAGAAGCAAUCCAUUAUCUACUAUUAUCGAAUUUUAAUAAAACUAAAACUUGCCAAAGAAUUUGGAUGCUAGAUAUUUGAUUAUAUAUGUAUAACAUAGCAAACCUUUCUGUGUGACACAAGAAGAAAUGACUCAACGUUUGAAUUCCAAAUAAAAAAGCUGAAGUGCAGCAUAACGGGCCUCACAU